rnacentral:rRNA from 1 species
AACGAACGCUGGCGGCAUGCCUAACACAUGCAAGUCGAACGAAGCCUUCGGGCUUAGUGGCGCACGGGUGCGUAACGCGUGGGAAUCUGCCCUUGGGUUCGGAAUAACAGUUAGAAAUGACUGCUAAUACCGGAUGAUGUCUUCGGACCAAAGAUUUAUCGCCCAAGGAUGAGCCCGCGUAGGAUUAGGUAGUUGGUGGGGUAAUGGCCCACCAAGCCGACGAUCCUUAGCUGGUCUGAGAGGAUGAUCAGCCACACUGGGACUGAGACACGGCCCAGACUCCUACGGGAGGCAGCAGUGGGGAAUAUUGGACAAUGGGCGAAAGCCUGAUCCAGCAAUGCCGCGUGAGUGAUGAAGGCCUUAGGGUUGUAAAGCUCUUUUACCAGGGAUGAUAAUGACAGUACCUGGAGAAUAAGCUCCGGCUAACUCCGUGCCAGCCGCCGCAGUAAUAC